AAGAAGAUGAGCAAUGGGCUUAGUGUCAGUAGACUUCCCUUGAGGCCUGGGUCUUUCUACUUCUUAAGAAUGAACCUGUGCAGGGCUAUUUGCACUCUUUGAAACUCAAUUUCCUUAUGUGCAAAAUGGGCAUAAGUAGUCUUUUACUCACAAGUGAUUUGCAGGCAUACAACAGAAUAAAUAUGAGAGUGCUAUGUCUAUUGUAAAAACCUUAGGAAAAAUAGUGAAUAAGUCACAGAGUGCCAGUAAAUUUAUAAUUGUCUCAAUAGCAGAAGUAUCAGGCAGUGUCAUAUCCUGGUCCUCUCAUACCUUAGUCAUCUUGUUUAACACCAUCCUCAAUUUCUCCUUUUUACACCCAGCCUAGCCACCAUUCACCACAUCAGAAGCCAUGUGGGCUCUGUUUAAUAAUAAACUCCAAAAGUGUCACUUUUUUCCAUGAUCACUGCUAACACCCUAGUCCAAGCCACUGAUAACCAGAUGACUGCAUCAGCCUUGAUAACACAUUGCCCUGCUGUCACAGACACCCCUCUAGAGUCCACAUGCCACAGGGGCCAGCGUCAUCUUAUAAAACCUAGAUCCCAACACUCAUCGCUUUAAAAUCAGCUCUGCUCUCUAUUACGCUAACAAUGAAAAUCCAGACUCCUUGUGGUAGCCCUCAAUGGACAAGGAGACCCAGCUCUUACCUACCACUGCGUUUCAGGUCCAACACUCCAGCCUUGCAGGCACACAGAGCUUCUUCCGGCUCUUCCAUCACAGCCAGUCUCUCUGAGCCCUAGAGCCCAGGCACUCUGCCUGGAGUACCCCAACCUCAACUCUCCAUGAGAUGUUCCCUUCUUAGCAUUCAGGUCUCAGCUCAAAAGGCCCCUCUUCAUCAGGACCUGCCUAUCUCCUGGAUCUAAAUAAGAGACCCACACACACUUCACUCACACCUAUAAUACCUACUGACUGCAUGGCAUUUUUGCUACCUGGAAGUCUUUCUUGUUUAUUCACCUCUUUAUUCUUGUUUAUUCACCUCUUGCUUGUCUGUUGCCCUGGCAAAAUUUAGACUCCAUGAAAGAAGGCACCUAUGUGUCCUUUUCAACACUAGCAAGCAGAACAAAUCAUAGGUUUGCAAAGAAUAUAUGUUGGAUACAUUUUUAAAAGUGAAUUUCUCUUAUACUACUGCAGCCGCAACCAUACAAUCUUCUGCCUCUGUCUGUUGGCUUUCAAAUCCCCCUGCACUGCCCCAUUCAAGGUUCUACAGUGCACCACAAAAAUCAAGAAAACGAAGACAAAUCUCUUGCUCUGGAAUCCAGUACUCCCCAGAUCCCAGCCUGCAUCUGCCUCUGAAGCCUCCUUCCUCACUCUCUCCUGCUCACAAUCUUUCCUCCAGCCACACAGCUGCAAGCUUCUUAGGCUGCUCCUUUAGCCCGAACUAGCCCCUCCGUUUACACAAUAAUUUCUGUCCUACUCAUGCCUUGCUUUGCCCAGUUGUGCUUGAUGCUUGAAACCCUCUGUAACAACCCUGAACAGUAGAACUUUCUACUGGAUGAUAUAAAGUGUUAGAAGCACUGAUUUGUUAAGAAAAUUUCCAGAGUCACACAGCUAUAACUGGCAAAGCUGUACUUCAAACUUGGAAAGUCGACUUCUAGAAUCCAGAAGUUUAAGCCCUAGACCAGCGUUUUUCAAAGUGUGGUUCCCAGACCAGCAGCGGCGGUGUCACCUGGAACUUAUCACAAAGACAAGCUUCCGAGCCAACUUCAGACCUACUCAUUGGAAGCUCAAGGUCUCAUCCUUUAUACACAUAACUUUGGCUCUUCCAUAAUGAAAGUUCAACUCUGUGAAUUGACUGCAUUCAUGAAGCAUUGCUGCCAAGGCUAAGAAUUCCACUUCUAUACAUCAGAUCCACAGGUUGACAAGCUAUCUGCAAUUCACAUUAGAGGAAAACAUUGCGCACUUUGCCUGUGAUUUGCACUUGUGACAUUUCCGGUGCUGUUCACUCACUCUCCAUCCAAACAGCAGCGUUGCCUCAUUCACAUUAAAUAAAUCAGAGGUAAAAGAAGAAAACAAGGGAAUUGUUCGGCAGAUGGCUCAGAUUCUUCAUCUGUAUCACUGCUGAUCCAGGAGAUGAACAUUUUUGCACCACAAGAUAAGUAUCAUAUUAUAUGCAAAUGGGACUUCAGAGAACAUAAACCACAGUAGGUUCUAAGACAUCAAGUGAAUUGUUUUUCUUUUCUAUUCUAUCU
rnacentral:lncRNA from 10 species